AGUGAACGCUGGCGGUAGGCCUAACACAUGCAAGUCGAACGGCAGCACAGUAAGAGCUUGCUCUUACGGGUGGCGAGUGGCGGACGGGCGAGGAAUACAUCGGAAUCUACUUUUUCGUGGGGGAUAACGUAGGGAAACUUACGCUAAUACCGCAUACGACCUACGGGUGAAAGCAGGGGAUCUUCGGACCUUGCGCGAUUAAAUGAGCCGAUGUCGGAUUAGCUAGUUGGCGGGGUAAAGGCCCACCAAGGCGACGAUCCGUAGCUGGUCUGAGAGGAUGAUCAGCCACACUGGAACUGAGACACGGUCCAGACUCCUACGGGAGGCAGCAGUGGGGAAUAUUGGACAAUGGGCGCAAGCCUGAUCCAGCCAUACCGCGUGGGUGAAGAAGGCCUUCGGGUUGUAAAGCCCUUUUGUUGGGAAAGAAAAGCAGCAGGUUAAUACCCCGCUGUUCUGACGGUACCCAAAGAAUAAGCACCGGCUAACUUCGUG
rnacentral:rRNA from 1 species